GCAGAAACUCAGAGUAAGCACCAGUUAAAAUCGAAAAAUAACGAGGACAGAUUGCUUGGAGUACACAACACUGACUAGAAGCUAUUUUGGGAAAGCUCAACAGAUAGGGCCAUGGAACGAGAAAAACUUCUCCAUUGCAAAAAAGGCCACGAUGAAGUUAAAAAAAACAAAUGAUGGACUGGAGGGAAAUAGCUGUUCAGUUCAUGAGUAGGGGCAUGUCCUGCUCCAACGCCUCCUCACCAAUAGGGGUCAAGCUCUCCUAAAGAAUCCUAGCUUCUCUUAGCUGCUCCCAACCCUUGCUUCCUGGAAGGAGGGAAGGUGACUAGGGGAAAGUAGGGGCACCAGCAGUCCAUCCUCCUCCUCUCCUUUUCCGCUCAGCCUAAGCCCCAGCCCCCACCCUGCUGGGGGAAGCCAGGGUCUGUAUUCUGUGCUGUGCAGUAAAAGCAGUGACCCACAGCUUUUCUCCCGGGAGGUGGGUGGGAGAAAAGGACAAAUCUCUACAAGGACAGAAAGCUCAUCCCUCACUUACAAAGCAUGCUACAGACCUGGAAGAGAGGUAAGCACACCGGGAAAAACGAUGCAAACACGAAUGCAGGCAUAGGUAACAUCCAACAGCAGCAACAAGGCAUUUAUGCUCACAAGUAACAAAACACAAGAACACCAAAAUGAGAUGCCUUUCUUUGGGGCAAAAUGUAUAAAAAUAUGUAGACCUAGCCAGGAUUUUGGGGUACUGGGCACACUCAUAUACUGUCAACAGAUUUUAUGAAGGACAAUUUGGCAAUAUCAAAAAAAUAGUAAAAUAAAAAGGCAUAUUCCCUGACUCAAUAAUUCCAUUUUGAGGAACUUCUUCAAUUUGAGAAAAAUACCUGGAUGAUGCAUUGGUAUGUGCAAAGACAUUUUACCUCAUCCCUAUUUAUAAAAGAAAAACCUGGAAGAUGAGCUUGGUCGAGUAAUUUAUAGACAGUUUACAAGACCAAUUUUGCGCUCAGACAGCCUGGGUUCAAAUCCCAUCUCUGCCUUCAGUGCUGGGCAAUUCGCAGAAGCUACUCAAUGUCUCCGUGCUCUGCUUUCCUCCAUUGCCAAGGAAGCGGGUAGGGCACUGCAGAUGAACCACACAAAGGAAACGCCAGUCACUUGCCUGGUAAGUCACAAGGAAAGGAAGAGGCAGCUACAGGGAAUCAGCAUCAAAUAAAAUGCCAAUUUCUCUCCCAACCCUCCAGGGCUUAAAAAAAAAAAAAACAA